GCCUACGGGGGGCAGCAGUGGGGAAUAUUGGACAAUGGGGGGAACCCUGAUCCAGCGACGCCGCGUGAGUGAAGAAGUAUUUCGGUAUGUAAAGCUCUAUCAGCAGGGAAGAAAGAAAUGACGGUACCUGACUAAGAAGCCCCGGCUAACUACGUGCCAGCAGCCGCGGUAAUACGUAGGGGGCAAGCGCUAUCCGGAUUUACUGGGUAUAAAGGGAGCGUAGACGGCGAUGCAAGUCUGAAGUGAAAGGCGGGGGCCCAACCCCCGGACUGCUUUGGAAACUGUAUUUCUUGAGUACCGGAGAG
rnacentral:rRNA from 1 species